rnacentral:rRNA from 1 species
UUCAACAUAUGCGCAGGUCGUUAGGUGUCUGGUAUACCCGAAGGCCUAGUGAAAGCAAGAGAUAUCAUUCGAUGGUAUCAUUUUGGCAUGAUCCUGGCAUACUUAAAAUAUGUUAGGCGCAAUGCCUACCCGUUUAUUGGCCACGCGCCAUGGACGGAGUUAGAGCGCAUACGCUGAGACCCGAAAGAUGGUGAACUAUGCCUGGGCAGGAUAAAGCCAGAGGAAACUCUGGUGGAAGUCCGUAGCGAUUCUGACGUGCAAAUCGAUCGUCUGACCUGGGUAUAGGGGCGAAAGACUAAUCGAACCAUCUAAUAGCUGGUUCCCUCCGAAGUUUCCCUCAGGAUAGCUGGUUAUCGAUAAGCAGUCUCUCCCGGUAAAGCGAAUGAUUAGAGGCCUUGGGACCGAAACGGUCUCAACCUAUUCUCAAACUUUAAAUGGGUGAGAAGUCCGGCUUACUUGAUUUGAAGUCUGGACCAUAUAAUUUGGAUGCAUGAUAACUAAGUGGGCCAUUUUUGGUAAGCAGAACUGGCGCUGUGGGAUGAACCGAACGUUGAGUUACGGCGCCUGAUUAUAGACGCUCAUCAGAUACCACAAAAGGUGUUGGUUGCUAUAGACAGCAGGACGGGGCC